rnacentral:ncRNA from 1 species
AAAUAGAUAAAUUUUUUAUAUUUUUAAUGAUUUAUUAUAAAUUUAUUUUACAUAUAAAUUUUAGUAUAAAAUUUUAAUUAUUUAAAAAAUAAUUAAUUUAAAAUAAUAGUAAUUAAAAUUAAAAAUUUAAGAAAUUAAGAUUUAGUAAUAUUUAAAUUAAUAACUAAUUUUGUGCCAGCAGUUGCGGUUAAACAAAAGUUAAAUUAAAUUAUUUCAGUAUAUAAUAAAUAAUAAAAAUUUUAAAUUAAAUAUUAAAUUAUUAAGUGAAAUUUUAAUUUAUUUAAAAAUUAUUUAAAAAUUAUGAUUUAAUAAAUUUUAUUAUAAACUAGGAUUAGAUACCCUACUAUUAAAAAUUUAAUUAAUAAUACUAAAAUAGUAAAUAAAAUAUUAUUGAAACUUAAAUAAUAUGGCGGUAUUUUAGUUCAUUUAGAGGAAUCUGUCUAAUAAUUGAUAAUCCACGAAUAAAUUUACUUAAUUUAUAAUUUUGUAUAUCAUUGUUAAAAAAAUAUUUUUAAAUAAAAAUAAUAUUUUAAAAUUUAAAAUGAAAUUUAAUUCAGAUCAAGAUGCAGAUUAUAAUUAAGUUAAAGAUGGAUUACAUUAAGUUUAUUUAAACGGAAAGAAGAUUGUAAAAUAUGAUUGAAGGUGGAUUUAAAUGUAAUUUUAAUUAAUUUAUUAAAAUGAUUAAUAAUUAAAAUAUGUACAUAUUGCCCGUCACUUUCAUUUAAAAAUUGAAAUAAGUCGUAACAAAGUAGAAGUACUGGAAAGUGUUUCUAGAAUGAA